UACGAAGGGGGCUAGCGUUGUUCGGAAUUACUGGGCGUAAAGCGCACGUAGGCGGAUAUUUAAGUCAGGGGUGAAAUCCCAGAGCUCAACUCUGGAACUGCCUUUGAUACUGGGUAUCUUGAGUAUGGAAGAGGUAAGUGGAAUUGCGAGUGUAGAGGUGAAAUUCGUAGAUAUUCGCAGGAACACCAGUGGCGAAGGCGGCUUACUGGUCCAUUACUGACGCUGAGGCACGAAAGCGUGGGGAGCAAACAGG
rnacentral:rRNA from 1 species